rnacentral:rRNA from 1 species
ACUCAAGCUAUAAAGGGCCAACGGUGGAUGCCUUGGCGCCAGAUGCCGAUGAAGGACGUGGGUGGCUGCGAUAAGCCACGGGGAGCUGUCUACCAAGCUUUGAUCCGUGGAUCUCCGAAUGGGGAAACCCGGCUGGGGUCAUGCCCAGUCACCUCUGCCUGAAUAUAUAGGGCAGUAGGAGGGAACCGGGGGAAUUGAAACAUCUCAGUACCCCGAGGAAGAAAAAGCAACAGCGACUCCUGAGUAGCGGCGAGCGAAACGGGAAGAGCCCAAACCGCUGCAGUGGUACAGCCUGCCGGCGAUGCUGCAGCGGGGUAGUGGGAUCCGCCUGGAACGGUGGCAGACGUUCCAAGGAGUUACAAAGUCGAUCGUUAGUGGAACCGGUCUGGAAAGCCGGGCCGCAGAAGGUAACAGCCCUGUACACGAAAACGAUCGAUCUCCUGGCGGUCUCCCAAGUAGCGCGGGAUCCGGGAAAGCCCGCGUGAAUCUGCGAGGACCACCUCGUAAGGCUAAGUACAGUCUGGCGACCGAUAGUGCACGAGUACCGUGAGGGAAGGGUGAAAAGAACCCCGGGAGGGGAGUGAAAUAGAACCUGAAACCGUUGGCCUACAAGCAGUCAGAGCGUCGUUACGGGUUUCGACCCGUAGCCGUGAUGGCGUGCCUUUUGAAGAAUGAGCCGGCGAGUUACCGUCUGUGGCGAGGUUAACCCGAGAGGGGGAGCCGGAGCGAAAGCGAGUCUGAAUAGGGCGCAGAGUCGCAGGCGAUAGACCCGAAGCCGAGUGAUCUAUCCAUGGGCAGGCUGAAGCGAGGGUAAGACCUCGUGGAGGGCCGAACCCACCAAGGUUGAAAACUUGGGGGAUGACCUGUGGAUAGGGGUGAAAGGCCAAGCAAACUCGGUGAUAGCUGGUUCUCCCCGAAAUGCAUUUAGGUGCAGCGUCGCGUGUUCAGUACCGGAGGUAGAGCACUGGAUGGCCUAGGGGGCCUACAAGCUUACUGAAGUCAGCCAAACUCCGAAUGCCGGUACUCCAAAGCGCGGCAGUGAGACCAUGGGGGAUAAGCUUCAUGGUCGAGAGGGAAACAGCCCAGAACGCCAGCUAAGGCCCCUAAUUCUGUGCUAAGUGGCAAACGAUGUGGGAUUGCCAAGACAGCCAGGAGGUUGGCUUAGAAGCAGCCACCCUUGAAAGAGUGCGUAAUAGCUCACUGGUCGAGUGGUCCCGCGCGGACAAUGUAACGGGGCUCAAGCACAGAGCCGAAGCUGCGUCAUGUUGCUUGCAACAUGGGUAGGGGAGCGUCGAUCUCUGCUGUGAAGCGGCGGUGUGAACCGACGUGGAGCGUGGUCGAGUGCGAAUGCCGGUAUGAGUAGCGAAUGAGGGGGGAGGAACCCCUCCGCCGAAUGCCCAAGGGUUCCUGGGGAAGGUUCAUCCGCCCAGGGUUAGUCGGGAGCUAAGGCGAGGCCGAGAGGCGUAGUCGAUGCACAACAGGUUGAUAUUCCUGUACCACCGUGUCCGCGUUCCCCCCAAUGGUGUGCUGCCCGGGGGCUGUCUUCGGACGAGCCCGGACCAGGCGCCGGCGGGUAGCAAAGGGGUGACGCAGGAGGGUAGGUCAGCCCGGGCGUUGGUUGUCCCGGGGUAAGCAUGUAGGGGGCCGGAUAGGCAAAUCCGUCCGGCACACACCCUGAGAUGCGAUGCCGAGCCGUCACAGGCGAAGUGACUGAUCCCAUGCUGUCGAGAAAAACCUCUAGCGAGCUGGCACGGUGCCCGUACCCCAAACCGACGCAGGUGGGCAGGUAGAGAAUACCAAGGCGAUCGGGAGAACUCUGGUUAAGGAACUCGGCAAAUUACCCCCGUAACUUCGGAAGAAGGGGGCCUCAGUAGAGUGACGGACUUCGCGUCCCGAGCUCGAGGAGGCCGCAGAGACCAGGGCCAAGCGACUGUUUACUAAAAACACAGGUGCGUGCUAAGUCGUAAGACCACGUAUACGCACUGACGCCUGCCCGGUGCCGGAAGGUUACGGGGAAGGGUUAGCCGCAAGGCGAAGCUCUGAACCUAAGCCCCGGUAAACGGCGGCCGAACUAUAAUAGUUAGAUCGGAGAGGCUGCGACAAAACUUGGCAAACUGGUGAAUAUGCUAGUACCCGCGGGUACCCGGCGUUGCUGUCCCACACGAGAACUCCCCGAGAAC